UGGCGGCGCGCCUAACACAUGCAAGUCGAACGGUACCCCCCUCCGGGGGGAAGCCAGUGGCGAAACGGCUGAUUAACUCGUGGAGAACCUGCCCCCUCCUCGGGAAUAGCCGCAGGAAAACCGCGGGUAAUGUCCCGGACGACCCGGGGACCGGGCAUGGGGCCCCCGGCAAAAGCCCAGGCGGGAGGGGAAGGCUCCGCGGCCCAUCAGGUAGACGGCGGGGGUGACGGCCCCCCGUGCCGACAACGGGUAGCCGGGUGGAGAGACCGACCGGCCAGAUUGGGACUGAGACACGGCCCAGACUCCUACGGGAGGCAGCAGUGGGGAAUCUUGCGCAAUGGGGGCAACCCUGACGCAGCGACGCCGCGUGCGGGACGGAGGCCUUCGGGUCGUAAACCGCUUUCAGCAGGGAAGAGACAAGACUGUACCUGCAGAAGAAGCCCCGGCUAACUACGUGCCAGCAGCCGCGGUAAUACGUAGGGGGCGAGCGUUAUCCGGAUUCAUUGGGCGUAAAGCGCGCGUAGGCGGCCUGGCAGGCCGGGGGUCAAAUGCGGGGGCUCAACCCCCGCCCGCCCCCGGAACCUCUAGGCUUGGGUCCGGUAGGGGAGGGUGGAACACCCGGUGUAGCGGUGGAAUGCGCAGAUAUCGGGUGGAACACCGGUGGCGAAGGCGGCCCUCUGGGCCGUGACCGACGCUGAGGCGCGAAAGCUGGGGGAGCGAACAGGAUUAGAUACCCUGGUAGUCCCAGCCGUA
rnacentral:rRNA from 1 species